AUUGAACGCUGGCGGCAGGCCUAACACAUGCAAGUCGAACGAGUGGCGGACGGGUGAGUAAUGUCUGGGAAACUGCCUGAUGGCGGGGGAUAACUACUGGAAAUGGUAGCUAAUACCGCAUACCAUCAGAUGUGCCCAGAUGGGAUUGGAUUGUUGGUGGGGUAACGGCUCACCAAGGCGACGAUCCCUAGCUGGUCUGAGAGGAGGACCAGCCAGACUGGAACUAGGACACGUUCCCGACGCAUACGGGAGGCAGCGGGGGGGAAGAUGGCACAAUGGGCGAAAGCAUGAUGCAGCCAUGCCGCGUGUAUGAAGAAGGCCUUCGGGUUGUAAAGUACUUUCAGCGGGGAGGCGUUACCCGCAGAAGAAGCACCGGCUAACUCCGUGCCAGCCGCCGCGGUAAUAC
rnacentral:rRNA from 1 species